rnacentral:rRNA from 1 species
GGGGGCGCAGCAGGCGCGAAACCUAUGCUAUAGGAGAAAGCCUGACAGGGUUACUGUGAGUGAUUUCCGUUAAGGAGAUCUUUUGGCACCUCUAAAACUGGUGCAGACUAAGGGGUGGGCAAGUCUGGUGUCAGCCGCCGCGGUAAUACCAGCACCCCGAGUGGUCGCGACGUUUAUUGGUCCUAAAGCAUCCGUAGCCGGUUGUUCAAGUCUUCCGUUAAAUCCACAUGCUUAACAGAUGGGCUGCGGAAGAUACUAUAGANCUAGGAGGCGGGAGAGGCAAGCGGUACUCGAUGGGUAGGGGUAAAAUCCGUUGAUCCAUUGAAGACCACCAGUGGCGAAGGCGUCUUGCCAGAACGCGUUCGACGGUGAGGGAUGAAAGCUGGGGGAGCAAACCGGAUUAGAUACCCGGGUAGUCCCAGCUGUAAACGAUGCAGACUCGGUGUAUGAGUUGGCUUCGAUGCCAUUACAGUGCCGCAGGGAAGCC